rnacentral:misc_RNA from 1 species
GGUUGGAUCAUUACCAAUCCUGACUCGCAAGAGUCUUCAACCCCAUGUGCAUUCGUUAUUGUUUCUGGGCGUUCCUCGUAACGCCCGACCAUUUUAUAAACCUUAUUAUCUGUCUGAAAUUAUUUUAAAUAAUAAAAAACAACUUUUGACAACGGAUCUCUUGGCUCUCGCAACGAUGAAGAACGCAGCGAAAUGCGAUACGUAGUGUGAAUUGCAGAAUUUGUGAAUCAUCGAAUCUUUGAACGCACCUUGCACUCAAUUUCGGUUGAGUAUGCCUGUUUGAGAAUUAUUAGACUUCUUUAACCUUUAUGGUUGAGAUUUGAGCUUUUUGACUUAGUCAAUGGCUUUAAAUUGAUUGCUUGGUUAUCAACGUCAUAUUGUGACUCACCAAAGUGUAUGAAGGGUUCGCCCAACUUCCUUUAGUGUUAGCAGUAGUUGAUUUACUAUGCUCAACUGCAGUUUCGGCUGCAACUAAGUUAUGCAACUAACUUGAACUUUAGUCUCAAAUCAGGUAGGAAGACCCGCUGAACUUAAGCAUAUCAAUAAGCGGAGGAAAAGAAAAUAACAAUGAUUCCCCUAGUAACGGCGAGUGAAGCGGGAACAGCUCAAUUUUGAAAUCUCAGGUGGUAACAUCUGCGAAUUGUAGUUUAGAGAUGCGUUUUCGGGGGCAGCCUUGGUACAAGUUCUUUGGAACGAGACAUCAUAGAGGGUGAGAAUCCCGUCCAUGACCAAGUGUCUGCUUCUAUGUGAUACGUACUCGAAGAGUCGGUUUGUUUGGGAAUGCAGACCAAAAUGGGUGGUAAAUACCAUCUAAAGCUAAAUAUUGGCGAGAGACCGAUAGCGAACAAGUACCGUGAGGGAAAGAUGAAAAGAACUUUGAAAAGAGAGUUAAAUAGUACGUGAAAUUGUCAAAAGGGAAACGCUUGAAACCAGUAUUGUUUGCUGGACUUAGCAAGUCUUUUGACUUGUGUCUUCCAGUUUGCGAGUCAGCAUCAGUUUGAUUCGGGUGAAAAAGCCUCUGAAACGUAGCCUCUCGGGGUGUUAUAGUCAGGGGUCAUAGCCUGGGUUGGACUGAGGACUGCAGCGUCUGUUGGAGAACCUAUCGCCUUGGAAAUUGCUUCUAAUGAAUGCUUGCAUAUAUUAGUUGUAACUAAGAGUACGGUGGGCGUAUCACACUAGCGCUUAGGAUGCUGACGAAAUGGUUUUAAUCGACCCGUCUUGAAACACGGACCAAGGAGUCUAACAUAUAUGCGAGUAUUUGGGUGGCAAACUCUUAUGCGUAAUGAAAGUGAAAAGGUGGGAUCCGCAAGGUGCACCAUCGACCGCGCUCUGUUAUUACUACGGUGGCGUGAGUAUGAGCAUAUCUGUUGGGACCCGAAAGAUGGUGAACUAUGCCUGAAUAGGGUGAAGCCAGAGGAAACUCUGGUGGAGGCUCGUAGCGGUUCUGACGUGCAAAUCGAUCGUCGAAUUUGGGUAUAGGGGCGAAAGACUAAUCGAACCAUCUAGUAGCUGGUUCCCUC